UCCUACGGGAGGCAGCAGUAGGGAAUCUUCCGCAAUGGACGAAAGUCUGACGGAGCAACGCCGCGUGAGUGAUGAAGGUUUUCGGAUCGUAAAACUCUGUUGUCGGGGAAGAACAAGUAUGAUAGUAACUGAUCGUACCUUGACGGUACCCGACCAGAAAGCCACGGCUAACUACGUGCCAGCAGCCGCGGUAAUGAGCGCCGC
rnacentral:rRNA from 1 species